GCGGCGAAAGGGAAGUAAUACUUGGAUCACGUGCCCCACGGACCGGGAUAGCUGCGGGAAACUGCAGGUAAUACCGGAUAAUCUCUACGGAGCAAAGGUGCGAUUCCGCCUCGGGAGCGGUCCACGUCCUAUUAGCUUGUUGGUGAGGUAACGGCUCACCAAGGCGAUGAUGGGUAGGGGGUGUGAGAGCAUGACCCCCGUCACUGGGACUGAGACACUGCCCAGACACCUACGGGUGGCUGCAGUCGAGAAUCUUCGGCAAUGGGCGCAAGCCUGACCGAGCGACGCCGCGUGCGGGAUGAAGGCCUUCGGGUUGUAAACCGCUGUCAGAGGGGAGGAAAUCGUUGGGGGUUCUCCCCCUUCGUUGACCUAUCCUCAGAGGAAGGACGGGCUAAGUUCGUGCCAGCAGCCGCGGUAAGACGAACCGUCCAAACGUUAUUCGGAAUUAUUGGGCUUAAAGGGUGCGUAGGCGGUGCGGUAAGUCGGGUGUGAAAUCCCUCAGCUCAACUGAGGAACUGCGCUCGAUACUGCCGUGCUUGAUGCAGAUAGAGGUCGGCGGAACUGAUGGUGGAGCGGUGAAAUGCGUUGAUAUCUUCAGGAACACCAGUGGCGAUAGCGGCCGACUGGAUCUUUUCUGACUCUGAGGCCCGCCUGGGGAGUAUGGUCGCAAGGGUGAAACUCAAAAGAAUUGACGGGGGGUCACACAAACGGUGGGGGGUGUGGGUUAAUUUGAGGGUUCGCGAAGAACCUUAUCCUAGCCUUGACAUGCACGGAUUAACUCCGUGAAAGGGGAGCCACGCCUUCGGGGGGAACGUGCACAGGUGCUGCAUGGCUGUCGUCAGCUCGUGUCGUGAGAUGUCGGGUUAAGUCCCUUAACGAGCGAAACCCUUAUCCUUAGUUGCCAGCGCGUAAUGGCGGGGACUCUAAGGAGACUGCCGGUGUUAAACCGGAGGAAGGUGGGGAUGACGUCAAGUCCUCAUGGCCUUUAUGGCUAGGGCUGCACACGUCCUACAAUGGCAUGUACAAAGGGACGCUAAACCGCGAGGUCAAGCAAAUCCCAAAAAGCAUGCCCCAGUUCGGAUUGCAGGCUGCAACUCGCCUGCAUGAAGCCGGAAUCGCUAGUAAUCGCGGGUCAGCAUACCGCGGGA
rnacentral:rRNA from 1 species